AUUGCACGCUGGCGGCAGGACUAACACAUGCAAGUCGAGCGAGCGGCGGACGGGUGAGUAAUGCCUGGGAAACUGCCUGAGGGAGGGGGAUAACUACUGGAAACGGUAGCUAAUACCGCAUACCAUCAGAUGUGCCCAGAUGGGAUUAGCUAGUAGGUGGGGUAACGGCUCACCUAGGCGACGAUCCCUAGCUGGUCUGAGAGGAUGAGCAAGCACGCUUGAUCUGAGACACGGGCCACACUUCUAUGGGAGUGAGCAGGGGUGAAGAUUGCACAUUGGGCGCAAGGCUGAUGCUGCCUUGCCGCGGGUGCGAAGAGGGGGUUCGGGACGCAACGCACCGUCAGCUGGUCGGUGUUACCGGCUGACGAAGCACCGGCUGACUCCGUGCCAGCAGCCGCGGUAAUAC
rnacentral:rRNA from 1 species